GAAUAUUUGUGUCAGAUGUGUCCCAAUAUAAUCAUAGGAAUAACCAGGUCCCAAACGAUUGUAGUAAGCUUCAUCAAAUUCCUGAUCUGAGGUGACAGCCAGGAUUGUUGUAAGAGCUAACAGCAGCACUUCCAUUGCAGCAGGACGGGUAA